GGGCAUCUUUCACACGUUGUCUACAAUUUGUAGAGAAGAGAAUGGUAGAGGAUUGUAUAAAGGCCUUUGGUCCACCUUAUUGGGAGUUGGACCUGAUAUAUCAAUCAACGUUUAUGUAUAUGAAUCCCUGAGGUCUCAUUGGAAAAUGGAAAGUUGAAUGUCAAACUGUGCGACCAAUGAUUUGAUAUGGUUAAUUCCAGUUGGGUGUGUUAACCUACAGUAAUCAAUCAAGUCAACAAAUAUAACAAUGAUACUUUGUCUUCUGAUUUUUGGUGAUGAUUUUUUUUGUGACUGAACUAACAGGAGUUGAAGCAUGUGUUCUUAUUUUUUUAUAUGACUAGAUGCAUAUGAACUGAAGCUCCAUAAUUUUCUUUUCAAGUCGACAUUGGUGGCAACCAAUACAAUUAGCAUUAUUUACAACCAAUGAAGUCUUAUAAUUUUCUUUCUUAGAAAUAUAAAGUGACGCUGACUAUCAUUUAGUAGCUCUACAGGCACUAGCCAAAAACAAUAAUGUUUAUUUAUUUAACCACCAAAUAGAACAAUAGGUUAUUCUGCAUUAUGGGUACACAAAUCACAACACUAUAUUUCAGCUGUAGAAAUCUGUGUGGAUGCCUGCUGAUAUUUUAAGCCUACAUAUUGCCGAUUUGGUUUGAGUAAUGCUUGAAGCAUAAUUUACUCCCUAAUGUGCAAAUAGCAGUAUCAUUUUUUGUCAAGAAACUGAGAAGACGGAAGAGAGUUGGUGUUGUCAGUGUGGUGAGCCUAUGCGGCAACCACAAGGCUGAAGUCUGCUUUGAUCGUUGUUCAAGAUUUGAGCCUUGGCUCCGGUUUUGAUAGCUCUAUAUCAGUGAGUUUAGUCCAGUAACUAUUUUAAGUAUCUUUACUGUGCAUAGUUGCAUACAUUUUAUUCAUGGAUUAGUCUUGGUAAUAUUAACAUUUGAAAAGCAAUUUUUGUGUGACCAUUUUUUCAUCUUAGUAUCUCCAUCUACCAGCAAAAGUCAACGUGCACAAACCUGUAUUUAACAUGCAACAUGAGAUAGUGUGCAUCGAAACUAUGCUUAUGUUUGUGACAUUCAUGUGGCAUCUCAUGCAGAUAGAUUUUAUUAUCCAUUUCUGUAGCAUGCAAUGUUUAUUUUCUUCUUUUGGUCCAUAAU